GGGCCGUUAGCUCAGCAGGUAGAGCACCUGACUCUUAAUCAGGGGGUCGCAGGUUCGAAUCCUGCACGGCCCACCA
rnacentral:tRNA from 6 species